rnacentral:rRNA from 1 species
ACGGAAGGCAGCAGUGGGGAAUAUUGCACAAUGGGCGAAAGCCUGAUGCAGCGACGCCGCGUGAGUGAAGAAGUAUCUCGGUAUGUAAAGCUCUAUCAGCAGGGAAGAAAAUGACGGUACCUGACUACGAAGCCCCGGCUAACUACGUGCCAGCAGCCGCGGUAAUACGUAGGGGGCAAGCGUUAUCCGGAUUUACUGGGUGUAAAGGGAGCGUAGACGGUUUGGCAAGUCUGAAGUGAAAUGCGGGGGCUCAACUCCUGAACUGCUUUGGAAACUGUCGAACUAGAGUGCAGGAGAGGUAAGUGGAAUUCCUAGUGUAGCGGUGAAAUGCGUAGAUAUUAGGAGGAACACCAGUGGCGAAGGCGGCUUACUGGACUGUAACUGACGUUGAGGCUCGAAAGCGUGGGGAGCAAACAGGAUUAGAUACCCUGGUA